rnacentral:lncRNA from 1 species
GUUUCCUUUUGUAUUGUUUUCAAUUACAGUCAUUUCAACAGUGCUUUCUACAAUCCGAAACUAUGGAAAUUGAAUACAGAAAGAUGUAAUUCAGAGAAGACUGGUCUUCCGAGGAAAUACAUGGUCGUAAGAAGACAUGAAAUAAAGGCUGCAUUGGCUGCUGAGGCUCCUACCAGUCCGUCCUGAGCACUUCUGAGGAGUGGAGACUUAGAAUUCCUGAUUGUUUGACAGAAGCAUUUGAGGAAUGGGAUGAAAACUGUAAACAGCCUGCUUUCAUCUCUGAAAUUAGAAUAAAAUGCUGGCCCAAAGAUGACA